UACGGGGGGGGUAAGCGUUGUCCGGAAUUAUUGGGCGUAAAGCGCGCGCAGGCGGUCCUUUAAGUCUGAUGUGAAAGCCCACGGCUCAACCGUGGAGGGUCAUUGGAAACUGGGGGACUUGAGUACAGAAGAGAAGAGUGGAAUUCCACGUGUAGCGGUGAAAUGCGUAGAGAUGUGGAGGAACACCAGUGGCGAAGGCGACUCUUUGGUCUGUAACUGACGCUGAGGCGCGAAAGCGUGGGGAGCAAACAGG
rnacentral:rRNA from 1 species